GUCCCCCCAUAUUUAUCAUUUUAAGCCAGCCCACCCGGCCAGCUAACCGUCUUUCGCGCUCUUUAGAGGCUAUGACCCCCAGAAGAACACUGUAACCCAGCGCGACUAUAACAAUUUCAGGUCUAGGUCAUCCGAGAGAUCAGUUGUGAGGUCUGGCAGAUCAGAUACGCUAAGAUCACCUUGCAGACCAGAUGAAAGGUCAAGAUCAAUUCGCAGAUGGGAUGAGAGGACCCCUACAAGGUCAAGUUGCAGGUGAAGACCCGUGCCGUUCUCUCAUUGCACAAACCCUUCCAUCUCUACAGAGAAUGCCACCAGAAGACCUCCGACUGAAUUUUCAGAGGAGUGUCCUCAUGAAGCUUGACAGCAUUCUUGAGAAGAAGCAGGAAGGCUUGGUCCUAUUGCAGAGGGUGGUUUCUUCCCUUGGCAGCAGUGUGGAGGACAUUGACGAUGUGUUUCCUCGACCCUGGCAGACCAUAGAAGAAAUGGAAAAUAUGUGCACCCAUCUCGAUAAAGAUGCUGACUUGAGGAAAAAAAUGAUCCUGUACCUGAGUUCCAUUGGAGGGACUGACCUGGGAGACACAGUGCCGAAAAUUAUACACAAGCUGUUUACAAACAAGCUUAUGUCGCGCUACAACAUGAAGGCCAGAAAUGGAAAGCUGAGGUUCCAUUAAAGAAACAACCAAAUGGAACCACAAGGUGACCAGGACAGAGGUGGAGUUGAAAGUAGGAGAGACUCUGAAACUGGCACUACAUCGACAGAAACAAAAUCAGGAAAGGCUGAACAAGUCCAAGGAAAGGGCAGAAGAUGAGGUGGCCAUGGACUAAUG